rnacentral:rRNA from 1 species
GACGAACGCUGGCGGCGUGCUUAACACAUGCAAGUCGAACGGAAAGGCCCCUUCGGGGGUCCUCGAGUGGCGAACAGGUGCGUAACACGUGAGUAACCUGCCCUUGACUUCGGGAUAACUUCAUGAAACUGGGGCUAAUACCGGAUAGGAAUCCUUGCUGCAUGGUGGGGGUUGGAAAGCUUCGGCGGUUUUGGAUGGACUCGCGGCUUAUCAGCUUGUUGGUGGGGUAGUGGCUUACCAAGGCUUUGACGGGUAGCCGGCCUGAGAGGGCGACCGGCCACAUUGGGACUGAGAUACGGCCCAGACUCCUACGGGAGGCAGCAGUGGGGAAUAUUGCACAAUGGGCGGAAGCCUGAUGCAGCAACGCCGCGUGCGGGAUGACGGCCUUCGGGUUGUAAACCGCUUUCAGCAGGGGCGAAGCUUGUGGUGACGGUACCUGCAGAAGAAGCACCGGCUAACUACGUG